rnacentral:misc_RNA from 12 species
GCUACCUGGUUGAUCCUGCC